rnacentral:rRNA from 1 species
AGUGAACGCUGGCGGUAGGCCUAACACAUGCAAGUCGAACGGCAGCACAGUAAGAGCUUGCUCUUACGGGUGGCGAGUGGCGGACGGGUGAGGAAUACAUCGGAAUCUACUUUUUCGUGGGGGAUAACGUAGGGAAACUUACGCUAAUACCGCAUACGACAUACGGGUGAAAGCAGGGGAUCUUCGGACCUUGCGCGAUUGAAUGAGCCGAUGUCGGAUUAGCUAGUUGGCGGGGUAAAGGCCCACCAAGGCGACGAUCCGUAGCUGGCCUGAGAGGAUGACCAGCCACACUGGAACUGAGACACGGUCCAGACUCCUACGGGAGGCAGCAGUGGGGAAUAUUGGACAAUGGGCGCAAGCCUGAUCCAGCCAUACCGCGUGGGUGAAGAAGGCUUUCGGGUGUUAAAGCGUUUUUGUUGGGAAAGAAAAGUAGCAGGUUAAUACCCCGCUGUUCUGACGGUACCCAAAGAAUAAGCACCGGCUAACUUCGUG